rnacentral:rRNA from 1 species
UACGUAGGGUGCAAGCGUUGUCCGGAAUUAUUGGGCGUAAAGAGCUCGUAGGCGGUUUGUCGCGUCUGCUGUGAAAACCCGAGGCUCAACCUCGGGCCUGCAGUGGGUACGGGCAGACUAGAGUGCGGUAGGGGAGAUUGGAAUUCCUGGUGUAGCGGUGGAAUGCGCAGAUAUCAGGAGGAACACCAAUGGCGAAGGCAGAUCUCUGGGCCGUAACUGACGCUGAGGAGCGAAAUCAUGGGGAGCGAACAGG